GACGAACGCUGGCGGCGUGCCUAAUACAUGCAAGUCGAACGGUCUUUUCUAUGGAAGCUUGCUUCCACUGAGAAGAUAGUGGCGAACGGGUGAGUAACACGUGGGUAACCUGCCCAUCAGAGGGGGAUAACAUCCGGAAACGGGUGCUAAUACCGCAUAGUUUUCUUGAUCGCAUGAUCGAGAAAGGAAAGACGGCCUCUGUGCUGUCGCUUAUGGAUGGACCCGCGGCGUAUUAGUUAGUUGGUGAGGUAACGGCUCACCAAGACGAUGAUACGUAGCCGAGCUGAGAGGGUGAUCGGCCACAUUGGGACUGAGACACGGCCCAAACUCCUACGGGAGGCAGCAGUAGGGAAUCUUCCGCAAUGGACGAAAGUCUGACGGAGCAACGCCGCGUGAGUGAAGAAGGUUUUCGGAUCGUAAAACUCUGUUGUCAGAGAAGAACAAGUCGGAGAGUAACUGCUCCGGCCUUGACGGUAUCUGACCAGAAAGCCACGGCUAACUACGUGCCAGCCGCCGCCGUAAUAC
rnacentral:rRNA from 1 species